rnacentral:misc_RNA from 1 species
GACCUGCGGAGGAUCAUUAAUGAGUUGUGAUGGGGUUUGAUGCUGGCAGCCAAUUUUUGGAUGCAUGUGCUUGCCCUAACAAUCAUCUUCCAAACACCUGUGCACAUUUUUGAGGGAGUUUCGAGUUGAUUGCCGCUUUUGG